rnacentral:rRNA from 1 species
GAGCUUGCUCCACCGGAAAAAGAGGAGUGGCGAACGGGUGAGUAACACGUGGGUAACCUGCCCAUCAGAAGGGGAUAACACUUGGAAACAGGUGCUAAUACCGUAUAACAAUCGAAACCGCAUGGUUUUGAUUUGAAAGGCGCUUUCGGGUGUCGCUGAUGGAUGGACCCGCGGUGCAUUAGCUAGUUGGUGAGGUAACGGCUCACCAAGGCGACGAUGCAUAGCCGACCUGAGAGGGUGAUCGGCCACAUUGGGACUGAGACACGGCCCAAACUCCUACGGGAGGCAGCAGUAGGGAAUCUUCGGCAAUGGACGAAAGUCUGACCGAGCAACGCCGCGUGAGUGAAGAAGGUUUUCGGAUCGUAAAACUCUGUUGUUAGAGAAGAACAAGGAUGAGAGUAACUGUUCAUCCCUUGACGGUAUCUAACCAGAAAGCCACGGCUAACUACGUGCCAGCAGCCGCGGUAAUACGUAGGUGGCAAGCGUUGUCCGGAUUUAUUGGGCGUAAAGCGAGCGCAGGCGGUUUCUUAAGUCUGAUGUGAAAGCCCCCGGCUCAACCGGGGAGGGUCAUUGGAAACUGGGAGACUUGAGUGCAGAAGAGGAGAGUGGAAUUCCAUGUGUAGCGGUGAAAUGCGUAGAUAUAUGGAGGAACACCAGUGGCGAAGG